CAUGCAGUCGACGCGAAGGGGCUUCGGCCCUGAGUAGAGUGGCGAACGGGUGAGUAACACGUGGGUGAUCUACCUUCGAGUGGGGGAUAACGUUCCGAAAGGAACGCUAAUACCGCAUGACGUUCUGGGUUUAAAGACCUGGAAACCAAAGCCGGGGACCGCAAGGCCUGGCGCUUGAAGAGGAGCCCGCGUCCGAUUAGCUAGUUGGCGGGGUAAUGGCCCACCAAGGCGACGAUCGGUAGCCGGCCUGAGAGGGCGGACGGCCACACUGGAACUGAGACACGGUCCAGACUCCUACGGGAGGCAGCAGUGGGGAAUUGUUCACAAUGGGCGCAAGCCUGAUGACGCAACGCCGCGUGGGGGAUGAAGGUCUUCGGAUUGUAAACCCCUGUCGAACGGGACGAAUGGCCUCUGGGCUAAUCACCAGAGGAAUGACGGUACCGUUAAAGGAAGCCACGGCUAACUCUGUGCCAGCAGCCGCGGUAAUACAGAGGUGGCAAGCGUUGUUCGGAAUUACUGGGCGUAAAGGGCGCGUAGGCGGCCAUCUAAGUCAGACGUGAAAUCCCCCGGCUUAACCUGGGAACUGCGUCUGAUACUGGACGGCUUGAGUAUGGGAGAGGGAUGUAGAAUUCCAGGUGUAGCGGUGAAAUGCGUAGAUAUCUGGAGGAAUACCGGUGGCGAAGGCGGCAUCCUGGACCAUUACUGACGCUGAGGCGCGAAAGCUAGGGGAGCAAACGGGAUUAGAUACCCCGGUAGUCCUAGCCCUAAACGAUGAAUACUU
rnacentral:rRNA from 1 species